UACGAACGCUGGCGGCAUGCAUAACACAUGCAAGUCGAACGAAGUCAUCGGAAUUAGUGGCGCACGGGUGCGUAACGCGUGGGAAUCUGCCCUUGGGUACGGAAUAAUUCCGAGAAAUUUGUGCUAAUACCGUAUAAUGUUCUCGGACCAAAGUUUUAUCGCCGAAGGAUGAGCCCGCGUAAGUUUAGCUAGUUGGUGGGGUAAAAGCAUACGAAGGCGACGAUCGUUAGCUGGUCUGAGAGGAUGAUCAGCCACACUGGGACUGAGACACGGCCCAGACUCCUACGGGAGGCAGCAGUGGGGAAUAUUAGACAAUGGGCGAAAGCCUGAUCCAGCAAUGCCGCGUGAGUGAUGAAGGCCUUAGGGUUGUAAAGCUCUUUUACCAGGGAUGAUAAUGACAGUACCUGGAGAAUAAGCUCCGGCUAACUCCGUGCCAGCCGCCGCGGUAAGAC
rnacentral:rRNA from 1 species